AACGUAGCUCAGUUGGUAGAGCACCUGCCUUAUACGCAGUAAGUCAAAGGUUCGAUCCCUUCCGUU
rnacentral:tRNA from 1 species